UGGGAGAGGGGCCUGCUGGAAUCAUCCUGUCUACUACUACAGGUUCUGGUAUAUUCCAGGAGUAGAUGAUAAAGGAACCAUGGAAACGAAAUGAGUGACUAGCUGAAACUUGAUGCUGUGAGCUCAGAGUGAGGAGAACAGUUUCUACAGGGCUUCUGAAGCCAGUUUACAUACUGCUCCUCAUAGUAUCGCAGAAAGCACCCGGUGUCAACCUGAGCCUCAUGAGGGACAAGCAAACAAAAAACAAACUUUCAAAAGACCCCUGGCACCGUGUGGAGGAAACAGAAGAUACAAAGAAGGAAUAGUUUCAUAGAGGCCAACCAGGCUUUUAGGAGAUCUUGCUAUAGCUUUUAUCCAGGCUCUGUGGGUGUACAUGAAUUCCAUAGCAAUCUUUUGCCCCUAGGGGGAAAAUAUGUAUUUGGAGUUAAGAGAUCCUAAUGGAAUCAUCCUGUGCCACUUACAAACCCAUGUAGCUCUGGGGUCGUGGAAGGCUGUCUGGGGAGCCUGGAGAGAGGAGGGAUCCAGAGACUGAUCAGGAGAAGAAGGAUCCAAGAACUAGCUGGGAAGGAGGCGUGGACUUAAAUGAACCCCUGUGCUCUUACACUCCCAAAUUCUCUCAACUUAGAACUUAGGGAAUUGCUCCACUGGACUCACUGAUUUCAGCUGAUCAGCUUCUUGGCUAACGGGGAGGAGACAUCAUCUUAGAAAUGUGGCUCGUGGUGGAGACUCUCACAGCCUUCCUGUCUCCACCCAUGUGGGAUUCCGGUUAGUGGGACAGCUGCUUUCUCUAAUUCUUGAACAAAGCCCCAACAUUCUUAUGUGGAACCACUCCAUUUUUACUUUUUUGAAACUCUAGUUCAGCAAAAAGAAACUAUUUCAUUUCUAAUUCCACUUUAAGGGGCAUAAGGAAAGUGAUUGGGUGGGAAAGGAAGUACUAAUUUGAAUUCCUAAGAAACUAUGAUAACAUUUAGAAUUUAUAUGUAUUAUGAGUUUUAUACUAGAGCUUAUUGCCUGCAUGGCAAUUCAUUUCAGAUGAAAGUUUUUAACAUACAAACCACAUCACUUAAAUUUCAAAUGAGGCUAGUGAGUAUUCAAUGUACUGUGCACGUUUCUCCAAAUCGCUAAACGUUCUGAUUGCACUAGGAAUGUUUGAACGACAGCCUGUGAGUCAGCCCUGGAUGAUGUGGAAGGAGCCUGUGAUUCUCAUUUUGACUUCCUCGAUCUGUAGCUGGGUGACUGUGAACCAGUCACUGGGCUUCCCCAGACUUCUGUAUUCUACAGGGAGUUAGUUACACACACACACAUACACACACACACACCUCAAUGCCCUGCAACUUCCAGAUCUUUCUUCUAAAUGGGUGUGCCUCUUUUGAAGGCAAGGACAACUUGACAAACAGAAGUGACCUAUCACAUAUCAUUAAAUAGUUAUGUGUCUAUAUUAAUCUGUAUAGCAGACAGUUUUAGUUCCACACUCAUUUAAUUAGAGUCUAUAUUGAACACCAGAACUCUUUAUAUUAAAAGCAACAAAAUGAAAAGAAUUUUGCCUUUUGCUCAAGAUGAAUA